GGAGGUGUAGCUCAGUGGUAGAGUGUCUGUUUAACAUGCAUGAGGCCCUGAGUUCAAUUCCCAGUACCUCCA
rnacentral:tRNA from 1 species